rnacentral:lncRNA from 1 species
ACCGUACCUUCGAUCUUUCCGAGUGGAUCCGAUAACCGGUGCGAAGUCCCCGGACGUGUCGAUUUCGAUACAGCAGCCGACAAUGAUGCAUGACUUCGCAAUCACAGAGAAGUACAUCGUCGUUCCCGACCAGAAAGUCGUGUUCGACCUCCGUCGAAUGCUCAUCGGGGAGUCGCCGGUGCAUUGCGAGAAGAAGAAGACGUCAAGAUUCGGCCUGCUUCACAAGUAUGACGUCGACGAGUCGAGGAUGAAGUGGUUCGACGUACCGGACUGUUACUUCUUCCAUCUCUGGAAUGCGUGGGAAGAAGAGGAAGAGGGAAAUCCGACGGUGGUUAUAAUAGCAUCAUGUAUGGCACCAGCUGAUGCCAUGUUCACCGACGACCAACCGAUGAACUGCAUAUUGUCGGAGUUACGUCUGAAUCUCAACACCGGCGAGUCGACACGGAAAACGAUAGUGGAGAAUCUGAAUUUAGAAGCAGGUCAAGUCAACAAAACGAAGCUCGGUAGCAAAACUCGGUACGUGUACCUAGC